AAACAGCAUCUAUUUGUGAUAUCUAACGUAAAUUGGAUUUAAUUAGAAAAGAACCAAAGUUCUUAGUGAGUUCUCAGUUCGAUUCAAUGUCGUCAGUGGAAAUUGUGAGUUUUUUACGCUCGCCGCUUGAAGGAUCCCGCAAAGCAGAGAUGCGGACUAAAAGUGGUACCUUCAGAAUGAACGUAGCCCCGGAGACUGGAGGUUUAUUCAAAAAACAACAAAAGGGAGAAGGAACUAUGACUGGCGAUAUUGUUUCUGCUGGGGCUCAUGGCGUGUUUAGACAG